GAUGAACGCUGGCGGCGUGCCUAAUACAUGCAAGUCGAGCGAACAGACGAGGAGCUUGCUCCUCUGACGUUAGCGGCGGACGGGUGAGUAACACGUGGAUAACCUACCUAUAAGACUGGUAUAACUUCGGGAAACCGGAGCUAAUACCGGAUAAUAUAUUGAACCGCAUGGUUCAAUAGUGAAAGACGGUUUUGCUGUCACUUAUAGAUGGAUCCGCGCCGCAUUAGCUAGUUGGUAAGGUAACGGCUUACCAAGGCAACGAUGCGUAGCCGACCUGAGAGGGUGAUCGGCCACACUGGAACUGAGCCGCGGUCCAGGCUCCUGCGGUAGGCAGCAGUAGGGAAUCUUCCGCAAUGGGCGAAAGCCUAACGGAGCAACGCCGCGUGAGUUAUGAAGGUCUUCGGAUCGUAAAACUCUGUUUUUAGGGAAGAACAAAUGUGGAAGUAACUAUGCACGUCGUGACGGUACCUAAUCAGAAAGCCACGGCUAACUACGUG
rnacentral:rRNA from 1 species